GAUUAACGCUGGCGGCGUGCCUAACACAUGCAAGUCGAGCGGUAACAGGUGUAGCAAUACAUGCUGACGAGCGGCGAACGGGUGAGUAAUGCUUCGGAAUCUACCCAAUGGUGGGGAAUAACCAGCCGAAAGGUUGGCUAAUACCGCAUACGUCCCACGGGAGAAAGCAGGGGAUCGCAAGACCUUGCGCCAAUGGAUGAGCCGAAGUCGGAUUAGCUAGUUGGAGGGUAACGGCCUACCAAGGCGACGAUCCGUAGCUGGUCUGAGAGGACGACCAGCCACACUGGGACUGAGACACGGCCCAGACUCCUACGGGAGGCAGCAGUGGGGAAUAUUGGACAAUGGGGGAAACCCUGAUCCAGCGACGCCGCGUGUGUGAAGAAGGCCUGCGGGGUUGUAAAGCAC
rnacentral:rRNA from 1 species